rnacentral:pre_miRNA from 1 species
AUGGUAUUCCCUCCGUCCCAAAAUUGUUGUCUUAGAUUUGUCUAGAUACGGAUGUAUCUAAUACUAAAACGUGACUUGAUACAUCCGUAUUUAGACAAAUUUAAGAUAAGAAUUUUGGGACAGAGGGAGUAUAAG